AUCCAGCUGAUGAGUCUCAAGUAGGACGAAGUGGCGCGCGACCUGGAU
rfam:Schistosoma rodhaini strain Burundi genome assembly, scaffold: SROB_scaffold0000236